rnacentral:rRNA from 1 species
GAUGAACGCUAGCGGCAGGCUUAAUACAUGCAAGUCAAGGGGGUAGCAAUACAACCGGCGCACGGGUGAGUAACGCGUACACAACAUACCAUAUACUGGGGUAUAGCUUUGGGAAACUGAAGGUAAUCCCCAUAACAUUGCGAGAGGGCAUCUGAUUGCAAUUAAAGUUUCGGCGGUAUAUGAUUGGUGUGCGUUUGAUUAGCUAGUUGGUAGGGUAACGGCCUACCAAGGCGACGAUCAAUAGCUGGCGUGAGAGCGCGACCAGCCACACUGGAACUGAGACACGGUCCAGACUCCUACGGGAGGCAGCAGUAGGGAAUAUUGGACAAUGGGCGCAAGCCUGAUCCAGCCAUGCCGCGUGAUAGAUGAAGGCCCUCUGGGUUGUAAAUAUCUUUUAUCUGGGAAGAAACUCCUCUAUUCUUAGAGGCCUGACGGUACCAGAGGAAUAAGCACCGGCUAACUCCGUGCCAGCAGCCGCGGUAAU